rfam:Schistosoma mattheei strain Denwood, Zambia genome assembly, scaffold: SMTD_contig0001041
AUCCAGCUGACAAGUCCCACAUAGGAUGAAACGCGCGUCAUGGAU